rnacentral:rRNA from 1 species
AACGAACGCUGGUGGCAUGCCUAACACAUGCAAGUCGAACGAGACCUUCGGGUCUAGUGGCGCACGGGUGCGUAACGCGUGGGAACCUGCCCUUAGGUUCGGAAUAACUCAGAGAAAUUUGAGCUAAUACCGGAUAAUGUCUUCGGACCAAAGAUUUAUCGCCUUUGGAUGGGCCCGCGUAGGAUUAGCUUGUUGGUGGGGUAAUGGCCUACCAAGGCGACGAUCCUUAGCUGGUCUGAGAGGAUGAUCAGCCACACUGGGACUGAGACACGGCCCAGACUCCUACGGGAGGCAGCAGUGGGGAAUAUUGGACAAUGGGCGAAAGCCUGAUCCAGCAAUGCCGCGUGAGUGAUGAAGGCCUUAGGGUUGUAAAGCUCUUUUACCAGGGAUGAUAAUGACAGUACCUGGAGAAUAAGCGCCGGCUAACUCCGUG